UUUACAGGGCAUUUAAUCUGACAGAAUUUUGAAUCAAAUGAUAGAUAGCUGUCAAUCGAAUGAUGCCAGUAAUCCCAUAAAGAAAAAAAAUUAGGCAAGUCUUAAUUGUGAGCAUUAAUCACUGAGGUUGUCAUCAUUUAAAAGAAAUUAAAAAACAUGAUUUUCGUUUUAAUAUUCAUCAUUGAGAAGCCGUCGCUACCUAGUCAGCCAUAAAAACCCCGCUUCUUCGAGAGAAGUCGAGGUCUGUCUUAUUAUAGAACGUAUAAGAAGGGAAGAACAACUCACCAUUUACAUCUAUUGAUAUCAAAGACAAGGAUGUUUCCAAAUCGGACAACAGUCAGAUCGCUUGCCCGAUCGUGGUUCUGCGUUACUGAUUACCCGGUGAACUGCAACGGGACCUGAGAAAUUCAAGGGAAAAAAAGCUUGGCGCUGCCUCCUAUAGGAUACGAAACCAUAUGUUGGAGAUCACCAACGAGAGACCGUCAAACAGCAACAAAAAGCGUUAGAGUGCAAGAAAACUUACGACUUUCAUUUAAUAAAUUUACAACAAAGAACUCUGAUUCCCGUAGAAAUUCACAGUUACAAUCCCAAAUGCAUUCAAGCUUUGUUACCUUUUUUGUUUGAUUCAGCGAAUUCAUGGAAGAAUGAAUAAUAAGAUAUGACCUCAAUCUUCUCCACGCAUAAAUUGGGCAACAAAGAUUUCACGCCAGUAGAGAAGACGUAGUUCGAUGGUGAGGAUGUUUUUGCGAUUAUUUAUGGAGCACCUAGUUGCAGUCCUCUUUAGCAUAAGUUUUUUUAGCGAGGGAAUCGUAUUUUAGAUCCUUUCAUGGAAAAUCCUCCAAAAAAAAAUUAUAAUGAUGACAACAAUAAUUAAAAUCUUAACGCCACCGUCGUAA